ensembl:lncRNA
AGUUGCGCAAACAUGUCGCAACUUUGUCUCAGAUCUUAAACCUCAAGAAUCACGAGUUAGACCAAGUUGCCAACUUCCUAGGUCAUGAUAUUCGUGUUCAUCGCGAAUAUUAUAGACUUCCAGAGGCUACUACCCAGCUUGCCAAAAUAUCCAAACUACUGAUUGCCAUGGAGAAAGGGUCUCUCAAAAGCCUUCAAGGCAAAACACUUGAAGAGAUUGAAAUCGAAGAUAACCUACAGUUGACAGAUUCAAGUGAAGAAAGUGAGGUCGGAGCGGAGCGUGAGGAGGUCGGAGCGGAGCGUGAGGAGGUCGGAGCGGAGCGUGAGGAGGUCGGAGCGGAGCGUGAGGAGGUCGGAGCGGAGCGUGAGGUCAAUGAAGGAAAUCUUGUAUAUCCACAGAUUGAUUCUAUAGAUACUAGAAUGAUGAAGAAAGUUGUCAAGGAACCUCCAGCACAAAGUAAAAAUGGAGCGGGUAAGGUCAUUGAACCCAACAGAAUACUAAACAAGGAGAUGAAGCCAAGCAGUAAGAAGAAAACAAAUGAACAAUCUGCUUCUCUGGAAAAUGCAAGGAGGGUCAAAAAGCAUCCUUGGUCUCCCACGGAGGUUGCUGCGAUAAUGAAUUAUUUUGGCGAACAUAUCAAAAAAGGAAAACUGGCCACUAUUAUCGAAUGCCAGCAAUGCAAAACUGC